rnacentral:tRNA from 1 species
UCCCUGGUGGCCUAGCGGGUUAAGGGUCCUGGCUUGUCACUGCUGUGGCUCAGGUUCGAUCCCUGGCCUGGGAA